rnacentral:sRNA from 1 species
AGCAGCCGCGGUAAUUCCAGCUCCAAUAGCGUAUAUUAAAGUUGUUGCAGUUAAAAAGCUCGUAGUUGAAUUUCGGGGUCAGCAGGUUGGUCGUGCCAAUGGUAUGCACUGGCCUUGCUGAUUCCUCCCUCUUGAUGAGCCGUAAUGCCAUUAAUUUGGUGUUGCGGGGAAUCAGGACUGUUACUUUGAAAAAAUUAGAGUGUUUAAAGCAGGCAUGCGCUUGAAUACAUUAGCAUGGAAUAAUGAAAUAGGACGUUUGAUCCUAUUUUGUUGGUUUCUAGGAUUGACGUAAUGAUUAAUAGGGAUAGUUGGGGGCAUUAGUAUUCAAUUGUCAGAGGUGAAAUUCUUGGAUUUAUUGAAGACUAACUACUGCGAAAGCAUUUGCCAAGGAUGUUUUCAUUAAUCAAGAACGAAAGUUAGGGGAUCGAAGACGAUCAGAUACCGUCGUAGUCUUAACCAUAAACUAUGCCGACUAGGGAUCGGAUGAUGUUAAUUUUUUAAUGACUC